AUGGUGGUCCCAUAAGAUUAUAAUGGGGCUGAAAAAUUUCUAUCAUGUAGUGAUGUUGUACCUUUGUACCAUCAUGGAUCAAUGCAUUACUCACGUGUUUGUAGUGAUGCUGGUAUAAAGAACCUACUGUGUUGCCAGUUGUAUAAAAGUAUAACACAG